AGAGUUUGAUCCUGGCUCAGGAUGAACGCUGGCGGCGUGCCUAAUACAUGCAAGUCGAACGAAGAGAGAAGCUUGCUUCUCUUUUAGUGGCGAACGGGUGAGUAAUACAUAAGCAACCUACCCAUUCGACCGGGAUAACAGUUGGAAACGACUGCUAAUACCGGAUAGAUACCGGAUAGGGGAUUUGAAGGCAUCUACUGAUCAUUAAAGCUGGGACACAGCACGAAUGGAUGGGCUUAUGGCGCAUUAGUUAGUUGGCGGGGUAACGGCCCACCAAGACGAUGAUGCGUAGCCGACCUGAGAGGGUGACCGGCCACACUGGGACUGAGACACGGCCCAGACUCCUACGGGAGGCAGCAGUAGGGAAUUUUCGGCAAUGGGCGCAAGCCUGACCGAGCAACGCCGCGUGAGUGAAGAAGGCCUUCGGGUUGUAAAGCUCUGUUGUAAGGGAAGAAUGGCCAAGAGAGGGAAUGCUCUUGGAGUGACGGUACCUUACCAGAAAGCCACGGCUAACUACGUGCCAGCAGCCGCGGUAAUACGUAGGUGGCAAGCGUUAUCCGGAAUUAUUGGGCGUAAAGGGAGCGUAGGCGGUUUGAUAAGUCUGAGGUGAAAGCCCCGGGCUUAACUAUUGUGAGCCAUAGAAACUGAUAGACUUGAGUGCAGGAGAGGGAAGUGGAAUUCCAAGUGUAGCGGUAAAAUGCGUAGAUAUAUGGAGGAACACCAGUGGCGAAGGCGGUUGCCUGGCCUGUAACUGACGCUGAGGCUCGAAAGCGUGGGGAGCAAAUAGGAUUAGAUACCCUAGUAGUCCACGCUGUAAACGAUGAGUACUAGGUGUAGCGACCCCCUCGGUGCCACAGCUAACGCAAUAAGUACUCCGCCUGGGGAGUAUGCACGCAAGUGUGAAACUCAAAGGAAUUGACGGGGGCCCGCACAAGCGGUGGAGUAUGUGGUUUAAUUCGAAGCAACGCGAAGAACCUUACCAAGUCUUGACAUACCGCGCAAGGCCCUGGAGACAGGGAGAUAGUUAUGGCGGAUACAGGUGGUGCAUGGUUGUCGUCAGCUCGUGUCGUGAGAUGUUGGGUUAAGUCCCGCAACGAGCGCAACCCUUAUCUUUAGUUACCAUCAUUCAGUUGGGCACUCUAGUGAGACUGCCGGUGACAAACCGGAGGAAGGUGGGGAUGACGUCAAAUCAUCAUGCCCCUUAUGACUUGGGCUACACACGUACUACAAUGGCGUAUACAGAGAGACGCGAAGUGGCGACAUGGAGCAAACCUCACAAAGUACGUCUCAGUUCGGAUUGUAGUCUGCAACUCGACUACAUGAAGUUGGAAUCGCUAGUAAUCGCGAAUCAGAAUGUCGCGGUGAAUACGUUCCCGGGUCUUGUACACACCGCCCGUCACACCAUGGGAGUUGGGAGCGCCCGAAGCCAGUGACCUAACCGCAAGGAGGGAGCUGUCGAAGGCGAGACCAAUGACUGGGGUGAAGUCGUAACAAGGUAACCA
rnacentral:rRNA from 1 species